rnacentral:lncRNA from 1 species
CUAACAUUAAUGAACAUCAUGACACACAGUAACAUCACUGGAGAUUUAACCACACUAAUCUUUUACUCAAUAUCUUACACUGUCUGUCGGGUCAGUAGACUGUACAUGUUCUCUCCUUCCACAACCAAUUGCUUCUGACUUAAUCAUUAAUCACCAGCUGCCUCACCACUCGCACCCCCCUUCCCACAGACUCUGAACUAAUAACAAUGCGAAAAAUGUAUUUUUUGGGGUCUAAAGGUGAACAGUUGUUUAUGGUAAUAUUUUUUUUAAACCCUUUAACAGGCAACAGGAGUUGGCAAUCAGCCAUGUAACAGUGUGAUUCAGUAUGAGAAGAUUACAGAAUCUAAAUCAGUGAUGAGUACAGUCUCUAAACCUGCUGUUCUAGUAGUGCUUCAUUACUCCAUAGACCCAGAGAAGGUUAUAUUAGAAAGCAGCAAACUAGCAGCAAAGAGACCAAACACACGCACAGUGGACUGUCUCUUCCAUGAAGAUAAAGGAUUACUAAAGUGCUGCAAGAAUGAAGAAGCAGUGAAGACAGUUAAGGAGUGGCUGCAGGAUCUAUAUAAGACAAAGCCCACGGCAGCCGUAGUUGAACCUAAAUCAGACGAGGAUAUAAGAGGUAAUUACACAAUGUAAUUGUAUUAUUUGUGUAAAUUUGUGUGUGUGUGUGUGCGUGUGUGUGCGAGGG